AGAGGGGUUUGUGUGUUCUAAAUGUUAAUAUCUUGGGUUUUGGAGAGUGAGAAAGAUAUGAGAGAUGAGCAAAAGAGAUUAAAUAGAAAUGAAAACUCUAGGGAUAAAAAGUCACUUGAGGACAAGUAAAGAACAAGUUCGGGGGAGUUGAUAUCUUGCAUAUUUGCAUUGUUUUAAGUCCCCAUUUCACAUAUAAUGAUCAUAUAGAUUAGGAAUUUAGCAUCUUUAGGAUCCAUAUUGCAUUCAUAUG
rnacentral:lncRNA from 1 species